UACGUAGGGGGGCAAGCGUUGUCCGGAUUUACUGGGCGUAAAGAGCGUGUAGGCGGCCAAGCAGGUCCGUUGUGAAAACUCGAGGCUCAACCUCGAGCUGUCGGUGGAAACCGUGUGGCUAGAGUCCGGAAGAGGAGAGUGGAAUUCCUGGUGUAGCGGUGGAAUGCGCAGAUAUCAGGAGGAACACCGGUGGCGAAGGCGGGUCUCUGGGCAGUAACUGACGCUGAGGAGCGAAAGCGUGGGGAGCGAACAGG
rnacentral:rRNA from 1 species